rnacentral:rRNA from 1 species
GACGAACGCUGGCGGCGUGCUUAACACAUGCAAGUCGAGCGGGGAUGCUUUGCGGAAGGGCUUCGGCCCGGAAGGGAAGUAUUCUAGCGGCGGACGGGUGAGUAACGCGUGAGCAACCUACCCUACAGAGGGGGAUAACACAAUGAAAGUUGUGCUAAUACCGCAUGAGACCACGUUUCCACAUGGGGAUGGGGUCAAAGGAGAAAUCCGCUGUAGGCUGGGCUCGCGUCUGAUUAGCUAGUUGGUGGGGUAACGGCCUACCAAGGCGACGAUCAGUAGCCGGCCUGAGAGGGCGAUCGGCCACACUGGAACUGAGAGACGGUCCAGACUCCUACGGGAGGCAGCAGUGGGGAAUAUUGGGCAAUGGGGGAAACCCUGACCCAGCAACGCCGCGUGAGGGAAGAAGGCUUUCGGGUCGUAAACCUCUGUCCCAUGUGAAGAGGAGAAGACGGUAGCAUGGGAGGAAGCCCCGGCUAACUACGUGCCAGCCGCCGCAGUAAGAC